CGGACCGGCGCACGGGUGAGUAACACGUAUGGAACCUGCCCUAUGCAGGGGGAUAAGCGGAAGAAAUUCCGUCUAAUACCGCAUAACACCUUUAGGAGACAUCUUCUUGGGGGUCAAAGGAGGCGACUCCGGCAUAGGAUGGCCAUGCGUCGCAUUAGCUAGUCGGCGGGGUAACGGCCCACCGAGGCGACGAUGCGUAGGGGUUCUGAGAGGAAGGUCCCCCACACUGGUACUGAGACACGGACCAGACUCCUACGGGAGGCAGCAG
rnacentral:rRNA from 1 species